UUAGUACGACGAAGGGCAGAUUCGUAAAUAUACAUUGCUUUAUGGCUAAAUUGUAAAUUGCUUUUGAACCUUGAAUGGCAAACACGUGUUAUCCUUUCUAGAAAUUACAAAAACGUCUUCCUAACUUUUCCCUUUCGGAAGUCAUAGAGCUUCUGCUGACUACCAAGUCAUGCGGUAAGGAAAUCGUUGUAAUCUUCUCUUCAGAUUCAGUUAAGGUCACUCAGUAUCAUCAUUUUGUGUCCAUACCCUAUUUAGCUUUCUUGAAAAUUUCCAUUUUUUUUUUUUUUUUGUUUUUUCAAUGGAAGAACAAGGCGAUUAAGAAAGCAGCUCUCACCGAUUCACCAGGAUUCAGGACUAUUCAGAGAAAGAUCAAAUACAUGUCUAGAUUCAUUUGUUUGAUCAUACAGAGGGAGACAACAUUGUCUCUGACUACACCAUCAUGAACAUGAUUUCAGCUUGCUACUCUAUAUUGAGGAUUAUUUGAAAGGAGCUGAAUAACAUUUUUUCAAGCCAUUUAUUGCUAUCGCAAAUGAUCGAGCCAAAAAGCAAAUAAAAGCUCUAGAUAAUAUUCUUCCUUUUUAUAUAUCAGGCCACUGGGAGAUAUAAAUUUUGCAUGUGAUUUUGCUUUUGUACGACUGGAAAUUACUUUAACUUUUGUGUCAUUUCAAGGUAAAGUAGUCUUCGAACAAUGAUAGCUCAGUAAAGUAGCAUAUAGUUUUAUCAUAACAAUGUCAAAUUUGAAAUAUGAUAGAAUGCUAUAGUUGAGCCAUUUUAUUAAUCCUAAACUUGACCAAUAUAGUAGGACUCUCACAUUUUAUUGGUUGACAUUCUGUCUAAGAGUUGGAAAAUUUAACCAAUACAAUCUGAAGUCAUGAAGGAAAGAACAAUGAGAAUACCAAUUUGAGCAGCUUUUAUGUGCCUAUCUUCGGUGAUUCUCAGGUAGAGAUAACUUUCACGGUAUGUCAUACUAACCUUUUUCCAUAUUUGCUAAUUGUUGAUUUUCUUCAUCUCAAAACACAAGUUUUUGUUGCCUGAACUAGAAAAGCUUUUUCUUCAUCGAGCGCUACAAUUUUCUCUGGCACUAUUUUAAGUUUGUCAAGUCGUGGAAAGCUUGGUAAUUUUCUUUCCGAGUUUUGAAGCAAGAGUAAUUGUCACUGCUUAUUAUUUUAUAUAUGUCUUGCGGACUUUUACUGUAACCUCUUUUGAUGUCUUCUCUACAUAUUGUGCACUAGAGGUUGGCUGAUCUUACUUUUCAUAUGGUUCACUUAAAAGACUUGAUCUCCAUAUUUCCAUGUAAAUAAAAGCCGAGCUGUCACAAUUUUGUGAUGGUGCACUACAAGUUCUCUCACCUUGCUAAUGCUGCAGAAUAGAUGGGAAAUACAAGAACUGUAGAGAUUUUAGGAGAAAGCUAUGCAAGUGGGAAGAUUUGUAAAUUGCUACUAUUAUUUUCAACUUAUACUGUCUGCCAUAAUAUAAAGACUUUGAGGUAUUGCGAUAUGCUUUAGUCUUCGUUUUUUUGAUUGAAGGUGCGACCGAAAGAGUCUUACCUUCCAGAAUGGUUAUGGUAUGUUACACUAGUUUUACUGUAAGAAGAUAAUAGAAGACUACCUUCUGUUACUCUUUUCAUUCUGUUUUUCACUUUCCAGCGGACCUCCAGGCAAUGCUUUUGGUCAUCCUCUCAAACAAGGAAUAUAUACAUAAAUUUAUGAUCUUCUGCAACCGUCUUUAAUUUCAUGGUAUGAAGUGGCCGUGCUUGAGUUAAUGCAAUGUUGAGCUUGCUAUUUUUUUAAUUACUCUAGAAAUUUAAUUGUUCAAGUAGGAAAUUUAUAGUUUUUAGUUACAGCUGGAAGAUGAAUAAGCUAAGAGAUAUAGGACUUUCUUCAACUAGAAAUAUUAUUUGUACACUUACCUUGAAGCGUUCGCAUGUUAUAUAACUUGGGAAUUGGGCAAAGAGAUGGUUCCACAAAAUAGUGAGAACUCUAAAACUAACUGCUCUGUCCUGGUUAUGAACAAGUAGGCGAAAGGUAUUGCUUGGCUGCUAUAGUGGUUUAUGCGCCAGAGGUUGUGAACAAGUAGGCAAAAGGUAUUGCUUGGCUGCUUUAGUGUUUCAUACGUGAGAGGUUGUGAACAAGUAGGCGAAAGGUAUUGUUUUGGCUGCUUUAGUGGUUCAUAAUCAAGAGGCAACGUCACAACUCUCUUGAAUUGAAAAGAUUGCUUUUAGCCUAUGUUCUUGUUCUUAUUUCUCCUCCUGCAUUUACUUCUUGGCAUUGCCUAAGUUUUGUAAUUGCAGGUUCUAAUAUUUUUGUUGUAUACUGCAACAAAAGAAGGCUUGGAAUGAUGGACUUUCAAAAGGAAUGCAUUUUUGUUUUGCCACUUUGUAAAUAUGUGGGAAGCAGCCUAAGAAUGUACAUAUGUUGCAACAUAGAAUUUCUUAAUCUUUUGGAUAUGUUGUAAAAUUUUGUUCCUCAAUAGGUGAAUAUAUAUUGGAGCAUUAAUAUGUUGUAGACAUUUAAUCUUGAUAAAUGAUAGUAACGAGUAUAACUUAAUUACUUCUUCGGUGUUGAACCUUUUGGCAUAUUGUCCAUGCUGCACAGGCUAUCUAGUACUAUUAAUAAAUGAAACUUUUGGAUGACGAAGGGUAUUUAAGUAAAUUCAAACUAUUAAUAAGUGAAGCUUUUGGACGAUGAAGGGUAUUUAAGUAAAUUUAUAUUUCUUUUGUGGCUAAAUUGUAAGCGUCCGUUGGCCUAAAAAUAAACACAUGUCCCACCAUCCUACUCUUUUACCACAGUGGUUCCCUCCAUUCACCAUCUUCUCUCCUUUUGCGGAUUUCUGCAAAAGUUGUUCCCUUCGUCUUAUUUGAGCUUCCAGUUGUCAUGAGUUUUCUCUCCAAUUAACUUUUCUUGUUGCACAUGUUUGUGGGCAAAUUUUUGUUGGAUUCUUACCUAUCUUUCAGUAUUUUUUUUUUUUCCUGAUCUUCACAUGCAUGUCUGAAAAUAGAUACUCCAAUGGGUGAUUUUGGAUAACUAUUAUUUGAUGUCUGUUUCGAUUAAUUCUCUAAUGGUUUAGUUGCUUGAGAAAAUUACUGAUUAAAAUAAAAUUAGUCCGUCUUAGAGAAUAUCUCAAUACUUUUGCUAAUUGUUGGUAUGUGUCAAAUUCUGAUAUUUAGGUGAUCUCUUAAUUCUCAACCUCAGGUUUUUCCCUACAAGGAUGGAAAAUCAUUUUGCUUUGAGGUUAUCCUUUUUCUUCGGUAGAAAAUUCACUUACUAGCUCCACUAUUCUUAAAUAAAGAAAGUUGAUGUGCAAAGAGGGUGUUUGAUAAUAUGCCUAAAUCAAUUUUUUUUUACUUUUCUCUUUUGACAGGGUAACCCCAAUUUGAAUUUAUAUCAUUCACUCAAUUUUUCACCGGAAUGAGCUUCUUUAAGACAUGGGAUUCGAUAAAUGUAUCUUGAUGAUACGCAAUGAAGGAUUAAGGGAGAUGGUAAGGAAGGCUUCCUUGCAAGUGAGAAAUAAUACCAGGACUCCCCAAUGAAGAUUAUGUGGAAAAGGGGUUUUACUUGGUUCGUUCUUGUGGCUGCAAUUAUUUGGGGUAUGCUCAUUCUAAUUGCUUUUGUUAUUUCAUGCUUGGUCUUGCCAAUCAUCUAUUGUUUUCUCUUUAGUUAACUAUUUCACACUUUCUUGCUUUUGUUUCCCUUGCUAUAUUUACCGAAGCAUUCUCAUUUACUUUGGUGGAUGAGGGGUUUGCGGUGAUGAACAAUGUGAUUGAUCAUUGACAAACCUGAUUGGUAAACCUAGCAUAUUUAGCAUGUGGACUCUAAACACAAAUUAAAUGUUAUCCUCUUUUACAAGUUCCCUGCCUUUAUAGUUAAUGAAACCAUGGCGUAGUUGAAGCUGGAAGUAGUAUGUCUGAUCUUAUUAUUGCCAAUUUUUGUUUCAGAAAUUAAUUAGAAAAACCUAUACUUUUUACGUUUCAAGAGGGGAUUCUACAUUUAUCUUCCUUUCUUGAUAUGGAGCCCUUUGUAACAAAAGCAGUGAAAUAUAUGAAAAGACAAAUGAUGGAAAAUAUGGAGCAAUAUAUGAACUUUCUAGAGGAGAUGGGGGUUUAUAGUUUAAAUGGUAUGGCAGGGGCUGUUUUUGUUGUAAUUCUGUACCAUCUUGGUACCUUUUAAUAAAAUUUACCUUAUCAAAAAAAUGUGAAGUGGUACAUAGAAUUGGACUUGUAUUAAUGGAUCUCAGUCACCACUUCCGUUUAGAGGACAUAUGGCAACAAAAAGAUGAGAGCUUUAAACGUUAACAUACCUCCUUAUCUAACUUAAUUUGAGA